UACAGAGGGUGCGAGCGUUAAUCGGAAUUACUGGGCGUAAAGCGUGCGCAGGCGGUUCGCUGUGUCCGAUGUGAAAGCCCCGGGCUCAACCUGGGAAUGGCAUGGGAAACUGGCGGGCUGGAGUGUGGCAGAGGGGGGUGGAAUUCCGCGUGUAGCAGUGAAAUGCGUAGAGAUGCGGAGGAACACCGAUGGCGAAGGCAGCCCCCUGGGCCAACACUGACGCUCAGGCACGAAAGCGUGGGGAGCAAACAGG
rnacentral:rRNA from 1 species